GGGCUCGCUUUGGCAGCACAUGUACUAAAAUUAGAAUGAUAAAGAGAAGAUUAGUAUGGCCCCUGCACAACGAUGCCAUGCAAGUUAAUGAAGUGUUCCUUAUUUUU
ensembl:snRNA U6 U6 spliceosomal RNA